rnacentral:rRNA from 1 species
UGGGGAAUCUUCCGCAAUGGACGAAAGUCUGACGGAGCAACGCCGCGUGUAUGAUGAAGGUCUUCGGAUUGUAAAGUACUGUCAUUGGGGAAGAACGGUUUUCUUGAAAAGAUUGAGAAGACAUGACGGUACCCAAGGAGGAAGCCCCGGCUAACUACGUGCCAGCAGCCGCGGUAAUACGUAGGGGGCAAGCGUUGUCCGGAAUUAUUGGGCGUAAAGCGCGCGCAGGCGGCUUAUUAAGUCUGAUGUGAAAGCCCACGGCUCAACCGUGGAGGGCCAUUGGAAACUGGUAGGCUUGAGUGCAGGAGAGGAGAGCGGAAUUCCCGGUGUAGCGGUGAAAUGCGUAGAUAUCAGAUAGAACACCAAUGGCGAAGGCAGUCACUUGGUCCAUUACUGACGCUAAAGCACGAAAGCGUGGGUAGCAAACA